rnacentral:rRNA from 1 species
CGCGGCCUAUCAGCUUGUUGGUGAGGUAACGGCUCACCAAGGCAUCGACGGGUAGCUGGUCUGAGAGGAUGAUCAGCCACACUGGGACUGAGACACGGCCCAGACUCCUACGGGAGGCAGCAGUAGGGAAUCUUGCGCAAUGGGCGAAAGCCUGACGCAGCAACGCCGCGUGGGGGAUGAAUGCCUUCGGGUUGUAAACCCCUUUCAGCAGGGACGAAAUUGACGGUACCUGCAGAAGAAGGUCCGGCCAACUACGUGCCAGCAGCCGCGGUAAUACGUAGGGACCAAGCGUUGUCCGGAAUUAUUGGGCGUAAAGAGCUCGUAGGCGGUUCAGUAAGUCGGGUGUGAAAACUCAAGGCUCAACCUUGAGACGCCACUCGAUACUGCUGUGACUUGAGUCCGGUAGAGGAGUGUGGAAUUCCUGGUGUAGCGGUGAAAUGCGCAGAUAUCAGGAGGAACACCAGCGGCGAAGGCGGCACUCUGGGCCGGUACUGACGCUGAGGAGCGAAAGCAUGGGGAGCAAACAGGAUUAGAUACCCUGGUAGUCCAUGCCGUAAACGUUGGGCACUAGGUAUGGGACCAUAUCAACGGGUUCCGUGCCGUAGCUAACGCAUUAAGUGCCCCGCCUGGGGAGUACGG